GCUCUUCUGCACCGAGGAGGCCAGUCGUGAGAAGAGACUCUCCUUUCGUCCUGCCCUUCCAUCAGGUCAGUCUCCUGAAUUCCUUGGACACAGACGUGUAGGCAAAAUGAAAAUACAGUGUGCUUGCUUUCCACGACUCGGAGAUCUAAGGCGCCGUUAGUCGUCUGAACUCCUGCAGAAGAUAGUGUGGGCUAGGAGGAGUGGAUUCGAUGCCAUUCGAAUAUGGUCAGUUUCAUCCCAGAGCCCCGUCAGAGCUGUCAGAUGCUGCCAGCCAGACCCGGGCUGUUUCCAGCUUGUUGAUCAGACUCGAGGAGUCACUGUGUAUAUUAUCGUGUCUUCCAAGACGCGUUACCAGCUUCAGAGGGUUGACCCAGGCUCUUCAAACAUCUGAUUACACUUCAUGCUUCAGAUGAAAAGUUGUGAAGAUGGAAGAUUAUCAGACUUUGUAAUUUUCAUCAGCCAUCCUCUCUGCUCAGCAGUUUCUCGCAACCCUUAUUCUCUCUCUCCUCGCCCUCUGCUUCCCGUGAGUUCCUCUCGUGCCCAGUGAGUUCCUCUCCCAGUUGUGGGUCAUACUGGCCUCUCCCCUGAAACCUAUCACGGGCAGCAGCCCAAGGAGGAUACCAAGUCAGCAUGUGGCUCGAGGCUGAAUGAAAGUUGCUGUCUGGCUCGGGCUGGGAUCCCUUCUGUGUCAGCUGGACACAACAGAGUCUGGGACCCCAGGUUAACAUGACACUCCCUCUCUAUGAGGCCCCCAAUCACAUGGCCCCACUUCUUAGGACACCAACUCCUCCAAAAUUCAUCCUUCCCUGAAAUGGGCUGACAGUGCAGGCAAAACUAAAUGACCCAGAGACCCAAGGCAGAGAGACUGGGACAUGUAACCACAGUAGGGUCCUAAGUCAGAGUCUCCCACCAACUGCUCAAGAAAAACAAAAGGUUCUGUGAAACCCAGGCCAUGCUUAGUCAGCACAGCCUCAUGCUUAUUUUCAUUUUGGAAAUAUAAAUUGCCACCUUAGAUAUCUCAAUUGCAAGAUGGGUCCCCAAGUGAUUUUCAUUUACUACAUUACUUGCAGGUAGCCUCUGGGCUACCAUGUGGGUGGUAGCCUCAGGACCCAUUACUAAAACACAGCAGGAAACAUUCUGGAGAUAAUGACCAACGGGUUUCCUCUCAGGAGCUCUCUGCUGCCCCCACACCCCACACUCUAUCCCAACUAAACAGACAAGCAGCUUCUGCCGCAAGGGAAGGAUGUGAUAGGGAGAAAAGGAAAAAUACAAGCUUUGAUGUCUGGGCAAGAUUAAAAUAUUUAGGAGGAACAUCUUGAGUGAGAGCAAAGCUUCUCUCCACCCUUCCUCUACACUCCCCAAAAAUAAACAGUGAAGAUUCCUCUGAGACAGUGAGAAGAAGGAAAGAUGAUGAGAACUGAGAACGGAGAGACUUAUGGGCCCCUGGAGUUUGCUUCAGAUUCUCUCUCUGUCUCCCUCUCCCUCUGCCCCUCCCACUUGUUCUCUCUCUCUCUCUCUCUCUCUCAGAUAAAUAAAAUCUUUAGGG